CCAAAACAAAACCUAUGAUUUCCAUGUCCAACGUUUGACCGUUCAUCUUAUUUUAAAAAAAUAUGAAAAAAAUUAAAAAGACAAGUCACACAUAAAAUAUUAAUCAUGUUUUAUCAUCUAACAACAAUAAAAAUACUAAUUAUAAAAAUAAAUCAUAUAAGACGGAGAAUCAAACGUUGGACACGGAAACUCAGGGUUUAUUUUUUU
rfam:Oryza glaberrima chromosome 2 Oglab02_0006_7, whole genome shotgun sequence.